rnacentral:rRNA from 1 species
UACGUAGGGGGGCAAGCGUUGUCCGGAAUCAUUGGGCGUAAAGAGCGUGUAGGCGGCCCGGUAAGUCCGCUGUGAAAGUCCAGGGCUCAACCCUGGGAUGCCGGUGGAUACUGUCGGGCUCGAGUCCGGAAGAGGAGUGUGGAAUUCCUGGUGUAGCGGUGAAAUGCGCAGAUAUCAGGAGGAACACCGGUGGCGAAGGCGGUGGUCGUGGGCCGGCACUGACGCUGAGGAGCGAAAGCGUGGGGAGCGAACAGG